GUUCUUGAAGUUGAGUUACAGCGACAGCUUUUCAAGUUGUAGGUCUAGGUUGAAGUCCUAGCAGGAAUA
rnacentral:tRNA from 1 species